UCAGAAGACACUUUUCCUGUACGGGCGGAACCAACAACAGCGAAGUUCAAAAAACCCGACUAGUAGCUAAAAGUCAGCAUUCAUAGAGUUAAACGUCCCCGUCCGUGACUUGUACAUAACAAUCCAAGCAUCUCCUAAGCGUCUUUCUCCCCCUUCGUAAGGCCAUCGCGUCCACCAACGCACGUCUUACAUCCGCCCAGUACAGUGCCGUUGAAGCUGCGACGAGUAAUAUGAACGCUUAAGUAAUUCAUGAACAUCCGCUGCGUUUGCCUAGCAGUGUCGUAAAGGAGGUCGCGUCGGCAUCAGGCCAUCAACGUUGCGCCCAGGACAACACUUGCUGCAGCCAAGAAACCCUAAGUAUAUCUCUAUGCGUUCAUCCCCUUAGUCUUAGGGUUGCCCCUAAGACGACGUAGAUACCACCUCCUGACACCGCCGUACCGGAAAGCACUUUUCCGGUACGGGCAGAGCCAGCAGCAUUCCAGGUUCAGAAUUGAACCCAAAGGCAGAAAUCACCAUUCUGAGAGUUGAACGUCGCCAUCCAUGAUUUAGACAUACCAUUCCAUGGCCUGUGCAUGCGCGUCCGUGUCCUUCACUACGUUGCCAUCACGUCCACCAACGCACACUUGACAUCCGUCCUGUCCAGAGCCGUCGUCGCGAGCUUCGACAACAUGAAUGUAAGCAACAUUCGGAACAUCCGUCCUGUUUGCAUGGGAUUGUCGUCCUCCCGCCGGCGGAAAAGCCACUCAACGUAUUGCUUUAGAAUUCCUACCCAAGCCUAUAACACAAACAUAAUAACAUUGUCCUAGCAUUCCAUAGCCCUACUUGACUUGCCUACAAACGAGUUGCCCCGGUCGGACCCUCCAAGUCUAGCCCAGUAGCUUACUGUGGGCUGACGUUAGUGAACAUGGAAUGCAAGCUGUGUGUGUGCUCAUCCCCUUUGAAAAAGGUUUGACUACGACUUGACACACAGACUCCCUCCUGCAACAAAUGCCCAUUUUCCGUACGAGCGUGACGAGCAACAUAAGAGAUCCAGAACCGACCACACCGGCAGAAUUCAUCGUUCNNNNNNNNNNNNNNNNNNNNNNNNNNNNNNNNNNNNNNNNNNNNNNNNNNCAUGGACACCAGCUGCAUUAGCCUGGCUUGUCGUCCUUGCGGCAGCCUGGGCAAAUGGCCCAACGCGAUUUAAGUAUGCUGCUGCUUGCGGCCAAGAAACAAGCAUUUCCAAAACUGUCAUUUAAUCCCCUGGUUUCGUUGUAUUUGGUUUGCAUACAAGUCGACGCGGAUACUACCUGCUGUGACCGCCGUAUCAGAAGACACUUUUCCUGUACGGGCGGAACCAACAACAGCGAAGUUCAAAAAACCCGACUAGUAGCUAAAAGUCAGCAUUCAUAGAGUUAAACGUCCCCGUCCGUGACUUGUACAUAACAAUCCAAGCAUCUCCUAAGCGUCUUUCUCCCCCUUCGUAAGGCCAUCGCGUCCACCAACGCACGUCUUACAUCCGCCCAGUACAGUGCCGUUGAAGCUGCGACGAGUAAUAUGAACGCUUAAGUAAUUCAUGAACAUCCGCUGCGUUUGCCUAGCAGUGUCGUAAAGGAGGUCGCGUCGGCAUCAGGCCAUCAACGUUGCGCCCAGGACAACACUUGCUGCAGCCAAGAAACCCUAAGUAUAUCUCUAUGCGUUCAUCCCCUUAGUCUUAGGGUUGCCCCUAAGACGACGUAGAUACCACCUCCUGACACCGCCGUACCGGAAAGCACUUUUCCGGUACGGGCAGAGCCAGCAGCAUUCCAGGUUCAGAAUUGAACCCAAAGGCAGAAAUCACCAUUCUGAGAGUUGAACGUCGCCAUCCAUGAUUUAGACAUACCAUUCCAUGGCCUGUGCAUGCGCGUCCGUGUCCUUCACUACGUUGCCAUCACGUCCACCAACGCACACUUGACAUCCGUCCUGUCCAGAGCCGUCGUCGCGAGCUUCGACAACAUGAAUGUAAGCAACAUUCGGAACAUCCGUCCUGUUUGCAUGGGAUUGUCGUCCUCCCGCCGGCGGAAAAGCCACUCAACGUAUUGCUUUAGAAUUCCUACCCAAGCCUAUAACACAAACAUAAUAACAUUGUCCUAGCAUUCCAUAGCCCUACUUGACUUGCCUACAAACGAGUUGCCCCGGUCGGACCCUCCAAGUCUAGCCCAGUAGCUUACUGUGGGCUGACGUUAGUGAACAUGGAAUGCAAGCUGUGUGUGUGCUCAUCCCCUUUGAAAAAGGUUUGACUACGACUUGACACACAGACUCCCUCCUGCAACAAAUGCCCAUUUUCCGUACGAGCGUGACGAGCAACAUAAGAGAUCC
rnacentral:lncRNA from 1 species